CCUACGGGUGGCAGCAGUGAGGAAUAUUGGUCAAUGGGCGGAAGCCUGAACCAGCCAAGUAGCGUGCAGGAUGACGGUCCUACGGGUUGUAAACUGCUUUUAUACGGGAAUAACGCGCCUUACGUGUAGGGCUUUGCAUGUACCGUAUGAAUAAGGACCGGCUAAUUCCGUGCCAGCAGCCGCGGUAAUACGGAAGGUCCGAGCGUUAUCCGGAUUUAUUGGGUUUAAAGGGAGCGUAGGCGGCAUGUCAAGCGUGCUGUGAAAUGUCGGGGCUCAACCCGGGCCUUGCAGUGCGUACUGGCGUGCGUGAGUCCGCGUAAGGCAGGCGGAAUUCGUGGUGUAGCGGUGAAAUGCUGAGUUAUGACGAAGAACCCCGAUUGCGAAGGCAGCUUGCUGCAGCGCAACUGACGCUGAUGCUCGAAAGCGCGGGUAUCGAACAGGAUUAGAUACCCUAGUAGUC
rnacentral:rRNA from 1 species